AAGAUCUGUUUGUUGGUAUGUUGGUUUAGCGACAUCUAGAUAGAAGAAAGGAAAAUGGAGCUGUUCCGGUUAAUGAUGUAGCGAGAAAAUAGGGUUAAUUUGUAGUGAAAUAGCGGACACGAUGCAGAAGAGGUAUGAGUUGCUGUAAAAUUGUUCAUUUGUGUGUGGCCGUUAUUUUACCACUAAUCAGGGUAUAACAUUUACUUCUAUUUGCACCAGGUGUACUGUUACAAGUGUGAUGUAAGUAUGAUCCAGAUGGAUAAAACUGGUGAGAAAGAAGAGACAUGUCGUGACAGUGAGAAGAAAGUUAUCACUGAAGGCAAGGCAGAGGUGCUGAUUUAUUCAUCCAAAAACGUAUUUUACAACCCUGUUCAAGAAUUUAAUAGGGAUUUAAGUAUUGCAGUUCUGACAUUAUGUGCACAAGACCAUUACCAAACAUUGCGGGAGAGAAACAUGAAGAAAAAUGAAAAAUCACUAGAAGAUGGUUCUUCAGAUGUUCCAGUAGAGAAGUUGACAGCUGGGAUAAAAUACGAGGUACAGUAGAAACUUCAGCCC